rnacentral:lncRNA from 1 species
UUACUUGCAUACCGAAAUACAACAAAUAGCGACGUAUUUGUCCUAAUCGACUUGGGAAUAGCUCUAAGGUUCUGUGUCAUAGCCAAGAUGUUUAUGCCCAAGUGCCGGUUCUUGAGCACCAAGUUAGUUAGCGCAGAUUUACCAGUUGACUUGAAUGCCUUAAUAUUAAUGCCUUUGAGGGUGGGGCUAACCCCUCGACCCCUCCACUAGCCUCAGGGCGCGUGUUCGUCUUCCCUGGGCAUGCGGGAAUGCAGCUGGUCCAUCAAUCAGUGCAAAUUAGUCAUGUGAAGGCAAGUUAAAGGACCCCAACCCCAGCCUCUCGAAAAUCUCACUGAAGCGGUACCCGCCAUUGUCGCUGGCAUUGAACGCGAAGUCCUCAGCCAUCAGAGCCUGCUUCUCCGCCUUGUAAGCGCCCAGCUUCUUGCGCAUGUAGGGGAACACGUACAUGGAUCGGCUGGAUCCGCGCAGCAUCGUCGCGUCACGGCUGCACUGGCCUCCUGUGUAAAACCUGGCACGGAAAUGCCACCGCAGGCCGUUUAUGCUCGCAUGGAUCAUGGCAGCCGACUUAUCGGAGUGAGCGGCUGUCCGGUCGUAGACCCAGUCCGCCAGGUCUGGGUCAUCUGGGCAGCC